rnacentral:rRNA from 1 species
UACGUAGGCAGCGAGCGUUGUUCGGAGUUACUGGGCGUAAAGAGUGCGUAGGCGGUUUUCUAAGUUUGGUGUGAAAUCUCCCGGCUUAACUGGGAGGGUGCGCCGAAAACUGGAAGGCUUGAGUAUGGGAGAGGUAAGCGGAAUUCCUGGUGUAGCGGUGAAAUGCGUAGAUAUCAAGAGGAACACCUGCGGCGAAGGCGGGUUGCUGGGCCGACACUGACGCUGAGGCGCGAAAGCGUGGGGAGCAAACAGG